rnacentral:lncRNA from 1 species
CUAACUAACUGCAUCUGCAGUGACCACGUUCCCAAACAGGCCGCAUGCUGAGGCCUGGGGAAGAGUACUGCAAUAUAUGAAUCACUGCCCCACAGAAUGCAACCCUGAACAACUCCGAAUGCCUGCUGUGCGGGGCAGGGACUCUGUCACGCUGUUCUGUCUCUGGCCCAGAGGAAAGACCCGGCACUGCGGUUUAUGGGCACUGGCUGUCCGCCAGAAGAAGCCGGUGAAGGGGAAGGUGGAGGAAGGUAAGUCCUCAGACUCCUCCCCUUGCGCUGGAAGACCCUGUCUCCUCCGCUCGACUGACUUCCAGA